AGCGAACGCUGGCGGCAGGCUUAACACAUGCAAGUCGAACGGACCCUUCGGGGUUAGUGGCGGACGGGUGAGUAACACGUGGGAACGUGCCUUUAGGUUCGGAACAACACAGGGAAACUUGUGCUAAUACCGGAUGUGCCCUUCGGGGGAAAGAUUUAUCGCCUUUAGAGCGGCCCGCGUCUGAUUAGCUAGUUGGUGGGGUAAAGGCCUACCAAGGCGACGAUCAGUAGCUGGUCUGAGAGGAUGGCCAGCCACAUUGGGACUGAGACACGGCCCAAACUCCUACGGGAGGCAGCAGUGGGGAAUCUUGCGCAAUGGGCGAAAGCCUGACGCAGCCAUGCCGCGUGGAUGAUGAAGGUCUUAGGAUUGUAAAAUCCUUUCACCGGGGACGAUAAUGACGGUACCCGGAGAAGAAGCCCCGGCUAACUUCGUGCCAGCCGCCGCGGUAA
rnacentral:rRNA from 1 species